rnacentral:lncRNA from 1 species
GUUUCCAGCAAGAAGAAGAACAGUUUCAGUUUCUCAUCUGGACACACUCCAGUAACUUUUUUUCUUCACUUUAGUUUCAGACUGUUUUGAGUACACAGAGCAAGUUUUUAUUCUGAGGACAGGGGGCAGCAGGGAUUUGCUAGUUUGUGAACAGAUCUUGCCAAGAGAUAUUUGAGUACAAAGCUGGUCUAACUGUAAGGUAUUUUUACAUUUUCUUUCUUUCUCUCUCUCUUUUUUCUUUUUUCUUUUCUUUUUUUUUUCCCCACUAGGCAAAGCUCUAUGCUCAGCACUGGGAUAAGUUACAUUGACUCAGAAGCAGUUCCUACCCCCUCCAUGGAUGCUCAUGCCCUCGUGCAAACACUGGGAGUCAGUGCAGGGGAGGAUGUGUCCAACGCGUCUCUUGUUCCCCUGAUGAGUCCUCACCAUGGCCCCUUGAAGAAGGGAUUAUUCCUGGUAUUUUUCAGUGCUUCAGAAUAGGGAGAAGUGAAUUCUGGACUAGAGGUCCCUCCUGUGUUGGUAAUGCCAGACAAAUACCUUUAUCUCCUGGACCCUAGGAUGACCUCUUCAGUAAGUAGCAGAGCCAGGUUUCAAAUUUAUCUGAUACCACACUAAGAUCCAUGAAAUAAUGGUCAUGCCUAAAGGAAGAAUGAGUUGCUAACAGUAGACGAACAGGCAGAAGGCAUGAGGAGCUAUUUGGGGGAAUGUGAGUGGUCUCCAUGCUCUUCCUGUAAGGGUGGAGCUCUCUGAGCUGGAGCCUCUGGGUAUGUCCUAGGAAGGACUGCUGCUCCUGUUAGGAUGACUUCUCAGCACAAGGUCAGCCUGGAGGGAAAGAGAGGCCUUGAACUCACAUCAUCUUAGAAUGUAAUGGAAGGAGCUGGUUCUGCUUUUCAUUAUUGCCCCACCGCUGCACAUAUGGACAGUCAGAAACACAACAGGGAACCAGCAAAGGUAAGCGAAUGCAGAAUCAGGCAGGUUCUGUAAAAAGAUCAAAUAACACCUCUAUCAAAUACAUAUAGCCUGCUAGUCCUUAUUCUCAGGCAGGGCACCACCCAGCAAGGAAAACAAAUAUGGAAAAGGGUACCUAGCUUUACUUUGUCCUGCCUCGUGCUUUUCUUGGCUUAUCCUUUUAGUUAAGAGCAUAGAUUUGGGGCCAGUCUACCCAGGAUGAGUCCUAGUUUCACCAUUUACACCUUGGUGGCCUCGGGCAAGUCCCUUUAACUUCUCUGUGCUUCAGUUUCUCUAUCAAAAAA